rnacentral:tRNA from 1 species
GGCUCAGUUGGUAGAGCAACGCAUUCGUAAUGCGUGGGUCGCCGGUUUAGAAGCUGAAAAUUGAGCCAAAAUGGAUUGAAUUGAGAUGUAAAUCGCUGAAAAUCAAAUCGCCACCA